rnacentral:rRNA from 1 species
UACGUAGGGUGCAAGCGUUAUCCGGAAUUAUUGGGCGUAAAGGGCGCGUAGGCGGUCGUGACGAGUCACUUGUGAAAUCUCCGGGCUUAACUCGGAACGGUCAAGUGAUACUGUCGGACUAGAGUACAGAAGGGGCAACUGGAAUUCUCGGUGUAGCGGUGAAAUGCGUAGAUAUCGAGAGGAACACCUGCGGCGAAGGCGGGUUGCUGGGCUGAUACUGACGCUGAGGCGCGAAAGCCAGGGGAGCGAACGGG